GGUUCUAAAGCUGCCACGUACUCUGCUACUCCAAGCCUUUGAUUUAAUUCAAUUUUGGUGGAUCCAACGGCCAUUUCCCUCAUCUCUUUAAAAUGUAAAAGCAUCAUUUUAAGCACUACAGGCCGUCGAUUUCGAGCGAGCUUACAAGUGUUAAGGCCAAAAAAUUUUGAACUGGACAUCAGCCAUGGGAAGUUUGGGCAAUUUUAUUUUGGGGAAUGUUGGGAAAG
rnacentral:lncRNA from 1 species